AGUGCAUCUGCACAGAACCCCAUCAUGAACUUUGUCUUCCUUUCAGGAAAAUAACAGUGCGAGUAUAAAAGGGGGGAGCAGAGGGAGUUGUUGUUGUUCCAAAAGCUACUGCUAGACAGAGCUGAGCUGACUAAGGAGGGACAUUUUAACAGGUCUCUCUCUUCUACUCACACACACUCGGCAGAUCAAUCCUGCUGCAAGGCACCGUGAUGAAGGCGGGGCUCAGCCUGCUCCUGGCUCUCUGCCUGCUCCCUGGGGGCGGAGCAGAGAGUGAGGGGGAGGGGACCCGCUGUAAGCCACCACCUGGUUGGAGCAUUGGGGAGGUGGAGCCAAUGAAGGGGGUUAUGGGCCAGGUCACGGUGGUGGCCCUCCUCCAGGCCAGCUGAUCGUUCUGCUUGGUGCAGGCAUCCUUAUUGGAUGAGCUGCGCCUGAAGCUGGAGGGCCAGGGUCUGGACAAUGUGACCUAUAUGGUGGUGAACCACCAGGGGGAGCAGGUCCAGCACCUUCACACCUUGCUGAGCCAGAAACUGUCUGAGAACAUCAUAUUGUACAAACAGGUACCCAAACAGGAUGACGUGUGGCAGGCCCUGGCUGGAAAGAAGGAUGACGUCCUCAUCUAUGACAGGUGUGGUCGUCUGACCCACCAUAUCUUCCUCCCCUUUUCCAUCCUGGGUACUCCCUACGUAGAGAACGCCAUUAAGGAGACCUACUGCCAACACAUCUGUGGGGACUGCACGUAUGAGAACACAGAGAUCCCAGCAGAGUGCAACAGGAUGGUAGAGGUAAAGCCUGAGGGAGAAGAGAAGCCAGUCACUGGAGGGGAUACACCUCACGGUGGACGCGGUCAUCAUCACCAUGGCAAUGGGCACGGUCACCAUGGCAAAAGCCAUGGUCACGGUCACCAUGGCGAGAGUGACGUGGGGCACGAACACGGUCGUGGCCAUGGGGUGGAGCAGCAGCAGCACCAAAAUGGCGCUGAGGGGCUCCACCAUGGCCAGGCCCAUGGCCAAUUGCACGUUGGUCAGGAGCAUAUGGGUCAGCAGCCCAAGGAGGCGCAGGAAGGGCAUAUUAUGCAGAAGCCCUGAGUGAAGGGGAGGGCCAGGUGAAAGGCAGAGCUCAGCUGACAUUUGAAGGAGGGGUCUGAUAUAAGUCCCUCCUCCAAGGUCAGCUGAUGCUGACACUGACGGGGGCUGUUUGGCAAUGGGGUACGCAACGAGCCAAUCGGGCUCUGACACUGUGAUGAGGCGCUGCCCGCCUCCUGACAGUGACAGGGACUGAUGGGCGACUCCAACAAUCACAUCAGGGAGACCUGACAGUGACGCUUGCUCCCCGCUGACUGACAGCAGCCUCUGCCAGUGAUGUCAGCCUGAUCCCCGGGUGUUAAAACCUGAAGCUGAGAGCAGCUGUAAGCAGGGCCAUGGCUCUGUGAAAGUUAUCUUGCUUAUAGGCCUCAUAUUAACAUCUGUGAGACCAACACCGUGGCAAAGCGCUCAUACCAUCUUACCAACUAGUAUUGCUCCGGUACUGAAAAGCCACACUUGAUAGAGAGGGAUGGAGGAAUAUACAUUGGGUCUGGUAGAAGAAUGCUAAGCCUAAACCUAUUACGAUAUGGGGAAUAGGAUGGUGUUUGAGAUGUACCCAAAGGGAUAGUAUGACAUCAAGGAAGGUAGCCUCCACCCUCUCUCUCUCUGUCGGUGCAUUGGUGUCACCCUCCCGGGAGUGUAUGGGGUGACUAUGUUGAUGUUUCUCCCCCUCCGUUUUGCUCCCUCCAUCCAAAAUGAAGGUAGGCACAGAAACUACGCUGUAGUGGUGUCUGUCUGAUGUCCGGCUGGGGAGGGGAGGGUGAGGGCCAUACAAUAUGACCACCCCCUUAAUUCAAAGUUCACAAUAUCGAGAGCUUUAGAAGGAGUAUGAAGGAGUAGCGGCCAAUGUUGAAAUAAACUGAAAUCAUGGCCAGAAAUGCAAGAUUUGAACCAAAGUUAGACAUUGUUAUAUUCAGCGUUAGUUAGACAUUGUUAUAUUCAGUGUUAACAAAACAAAUUUGAAUAAAAUACAGUAUUAAUAGAGUAAGAUUUUUCUAUUAUGACCCCAUCAACCUUUUCAACUUUUUCUUCAACUAAAAAUCUAAUGUCACCCCUUUCAAGCAACAACAUUUAUUUGUACCUUUGAAUUAACGCUGUGUUUAUUAAAGCAGUAGUGUGUUUUGUAGACAAAAUUCAAUAUUCAUAGCGUACAGCUGUGAGAAUGUGUGUUUAGUUUUCCAUGUUUCUGUCACUGUUAUUGCUGUUGGCAAUAUUACACACAUAUCUAUAAUGCACUGUUCAUGAACUAACUAAACAAAAUGACCGCUUUUCAACGAACAAAAAAUAUUACACACAUAUCUAUAAUACACUGUUCAUGAACUAACUAAACAAAAUGACCGCUUUUCAACGAACAAAAAAUAUUACACACAUAUCUAUAAUGCACUGUUCAUGAACUAACAAAACAAAGUGACCACUUUUCAACUAACAAAAAAACAGCUGGAAUGAAGGUGGGUAAAGAGAAAUAUUGAAUAUACUGUACUUAAUGAAGGUCUCUGGGGAAGACUACGGUCACCUAGAACACCCUAUGCUUUGUACAGAACAAAUGCUUUCUGACUGUGGAGUGUAGGUGGUGGAACAUGUAAGAAAAUAUCAAUAAAGGUGGUUGAUGCACUCA